rnacentral:rRNA from 1 species
AUUGAACGCUAGCGGCAUGCCUUACACAUGCAAGUCGAACGGCAGCACGGGUGCUUGCACCUGGUGGCGAGUGGCGAACGGGUGAGUAAUACAUCGGAACAUGUCCUGUAGUGGGGGAUAGCCCGGCGAAAGCCGGAUUAAUACCGCAUACGAUCUACGGAUGAAAGCGGGGGACCUUCGGGCCUCGCGCUAUAGGGUUGGCCGAUAGCUGAUUAGCUAGUUGGUGGGGUAAAGGCCUACCAAGGCGACGAUCAGUAGCUGGUCUGAGAGGACGACCAGCCACACUGGGACUGAGACACGGCCCAGACUCCUACGGGAGGCAGCAGUGGGGAAUUUUGGACAAUGGGCGAAAGCCUGAUCCAGCAAUGCCGCGUGUGUGAAGAAGGCCUUCGGGUUGUAAAGCACUUUUGUCCGGAAAGAAAUCCUUGGCUCUAAUACAGUCGGGGGAUGACGGUACCGGAAGAAUAAGCACCGGCUAACUACGUG